rnacentral:misc_RNA from 1 species
AAAAAAUGGUUAUCUUACGUACAAAAAUUACAUACAUGGAAUAAUGAUCUAUUUACUAAAUUUAGACACUUGGCUUUUUUUACCUUUUUUUUUUUUACCUCGAAUUACAAAAAUUAAGGGGAGAUUUUGGUAAAAGAGAGGUUAAAACGGAACGACGUCGCUGCAGGCAAAAUCAUCUGUAUUGGCGAUGGAGUCCUCCGGCCAACAAUCGCGAAGCUGCUUCAAAAGCAUUUGUGCUUUUCGCUUCGCACGUUCUGUACAAUCGCUUUGAACUAACAGCAGAAGCUGAAUCAACACGCCGGCGGCGACCGCCUCUUUCUGAGCUUGUUCCGACGCUGAGCAAAGCGAUAGCAGAGCUCCGGCGGCGUAUUCCGUCGCACGCUCCGAUAUCUUGAGAAUGAUUUUAACCAGCAGAGGCACCGUUAGCGCGUGAGAUGCUAACGCUGCGCAUCCUGAUGGAAUUCUGGAGAGGAGUUCGAUGGUGGCGAGUGCUCUUUCCGCAUCGCAUUUCUCAAAAUCCUGUAGCCUGUCGAUUAGCGCUUCCACCGCUCCGGCGCUCACCGCUCUUUGACGGUGUUGUUUCACUAGGCAUAAAGCAAAUAAUGCCUUGAUUCCGACUUUCAACGCUCUCGGAUACGCCAAUGGAUAAUUCAAAAUUCCGACGACUCCUUCGAAGACGUCAUCCGCAUUGCUGAUUUGAGCACGGAACUCCGGGGAUCUCAUUCCGGCGACUACAAUCUCAAUCAAAG